rnacentral:lncRNA from 1 species
UGCAGGUAUCAUGGAAGAGAAGGGACCUCAAACCAUGUCUUCGGCUCCCCACUUCCCACUCUGCGCCUCCAAAAAUGCUCAGCGACUUUGCACAUGUGUACAGCUGACUGCGGUGCUGGUGCAGCGGCUUUGAAGCUGAUGAUGUCCUUGGCACGGGCUUUGGAGCCGGGCUAUGCAACACGAACCCUGGGUGAGACACUGGGUCGGAUUUGAAUACCUGACUUCUGAUCCUCGCCUGUAAAGUGGAGAUAAUCCUGGCACUCCUCACUGGCUGAUUUGGAGGGCACAUGAGUUAACCCAUGCGCAGCACUUAGAGCUCGUCGGAACUGCACAUAAGCAGCACCAAGCUGAGCUCGGCACCUUGGCUAAAUGUCCUGUGGAAUGUGAGGUUAGUACUCCAAAGGUGACCUCGAGCUUUCUUGCCAGGUUUCUCAGGCUUCGAGCCAAUUGAGGAGAGGAGUUUCUGGCGACUGUAUUUUCCUAAAUCUGUGGGAGACGGCAGCGGAGCUGCUGCAGACAGUCCUGGUGAAACGUAAACAGGCUGUCCCAGCCCUGCCACACGUCUUUCCUCCUCGUCCAGAGACAGCAGGCCGGAAUUCUGCGAGAAGACUGAGGGAAUUGCAGCAGCAGAAGAGGUGGGACACUGGCCACCUCCAAAGAGGCCACCUUGGUCCUGGCCACCCUUGGACAUGGUGGCACAGGGCCUGGGGCGCCUGCCUCAGUGGGCCCUCCCGCCACACACCACUGCAGACUCUGCCCCUGGAGCGAGGCCAGUGAAAAGACAGAAUGAGGCUGCCACAGGGUAAAUUGAGGCCAGAGAUGGCGAGGGCAGCCCUGCUGACAGUCCAGGUCUGGCCCCCAUGGUUGGGUGGCUGUCCGUGAUAGGGUCCCAGUCCAUCCGCAGGCCCAGAGUGGAUGCUGAAGUACAGAGCCAAACCCUGAGGGCUCAGUCCCUUCCUGCCAUGCACCUGUGAUGAAUUACAGCCUGUAAGUUAGAGAUGAAUAGCCCAACUGACAACCUCAGAAUCGUUAUAACGAAAGUUAUUUAAGGUCAUUAAUUGAUUACUUCCGGAAUUUUCCAUUUGGUAUUUUGGACUGUGGUUGAGGUCACCGAAGGCACAGAAAGCGAUCUGACCAGUUCGACCCCUGCAGUCCUGGGCAGUACACAGCUGGGCCCGCCCUCAUCUGACUGGGAAAUGCGGCCCUGACUCAGUGGCCCCAGAACUCCGCUGUGCCUAGCCAGCGGGCGCAGACACAGGUUCCCUGGAGACGCGGCGCUCUGCCCCUGGACAGCCGGCCGCGCGCUCUG